GUAGUUUAAUAUCUUUUCUUCUCCUUGACCAAUUCAAACAGACUGUUCUCCUUCACUCUCAAAUUUCUUCGUAUACUCCUCCCGCGCACACCGCCGUGGCAAUCGCGGUCUCCAGCCUCGGGGGCGGGCUCCAAAUCUGCUGUCGUCGCUGGCGAGUCGCUGGCGGGCCUUGACUUUUAGCGGCAACGACUUCGCCAUGGCCACUUGCGCAUUUUCUUCUCCUCCGCCCUAGCCCAGUGGCCAUUUCCUCUUCACCGCCAGACCCAGAAGAGAGCAUCUUCUUUCUCCCCCAAAGUUCCGGCGAGACUCCAACGGGCCUUGACCAUCAACGGCGUCAACGAGAACCACCGCGCGUCAGCCGCUAGCCAUUCCUCCUCCGCACGAGCUCGCCGCAAGCUCUCCGUCGUUGAAGCCCUCAUCUUCUUGCCGCUCUGCGACGUCGGAACCCUAGGCCGUCCGCCGCUGCCAUCUCCGUCAAUAUAGGUGAGCUGGAUAGCCUACUGUCAGUUCAGUUCAAGUGGAUCAUAAAGAAGAACAAAGAAUGAGUAGAAGACCACCUCCUGAUCCCGUGGCAGUGCUAAGAGGCCAUCGAGCUUCGGUCACAGACAUUUCUUUUCAUCCCUUUAAGCCGAUAUUAUUCUCCGGUUCUGCUGAUGGUGAAGUCCGAAUUUGGGAUACCCUUCAACAUCGAACCGUGUCAUCUGCAUGGUUACAUAGUGCUGCACAUGGUAUUGUUGUU